UACGAAGGGGGCUAGCGUUGUUCGGAAUUACUGGGCGUAAAGCGCUCGCAGGCGGAUCGAUAAGUCAGGGGUGAAAUCCCCAGGCUCAACCUGGGAACUGCGUCUGAUACUGGAUGGCUUGAAUUCGGGAGAGGGAUGCAGAAUUCCAGGUGUAGCGGUGAAAUGCGUAGAUAUCUGGAGGAAUACCGGUGGCGAAGGCGGCAUCCUGGACCGACAUUGACGCUGAUGAGCGAAAGCUAGGGAAGCAAACGGG
rnacentral:rRNA from 1 species